rnacentral:tRNA from 1 species
GCCCUUGUGGUGGAAUGGUAGACACGUUGGUCUUAGGAACCAAUGCUGAAAUAUGCUUGCAGGUUCAAGUCCUGUCAAGGGCACCA